CUGGCGUGGAAAGAGGCCCCUCGGGGCUGCGGGCAGGUAGCGGGGCGAUGCCUCUCGCACGUGGCGCCGGGAGAAUGGAAUUUCUUCAGCGAGGAUUGCGGUCUCCUGAGAUCGAUGACUUCAGUAAUGCUGCAUUAAGGUUGAUUUUACCUAGAAGAGGCAUCAAAGCCUCAGAAACGCCUCGCUAAUGGAUAUGAUAGGGGAAGGUGCUCCAGCCCCUUGAUCAACUUUGUGGCCCUCCGUUGGACCCUCUCCAUCCUUGUUGCAUUGUGGACUCCAGACCUGGCCACACUCCUUGAGCUAAAUAAGUGUAGUUGUCAGUUACUUCGUAAGAAAACAGAAAACUGAAACCCCUUCAUGUUUGUGUCCAUGAGUCUCCAUUGACCAUUUCACUUUUUGCUGGCCACCCCCCAUUACUUCCUGCCAUGAAUGAUACAAGCCAAGCAUUACAGCUGAGUGAAACAGAAAAAGAGGAAAGUGAUACAAGUGGAGCCUGUGAAUAGGAAACUAAGAUGCAGUGGCCUGAAUGUGUAAGCUUCAAUUAGUGAAACCUCAGCCAGUGACCUGGAGCUCAU